GACAGAGGUGGCGACCGUUGUUCGGAAUCACUGGGCAUAAAGCGCGUGUAGGCGGCGAAGAAAGUCGGGUGUGAAAUCCCUCGGCCUAACCGAGGAAUUGCGCCCGAAACUUCUUUGCUUGAGGACAGGAGGGGAGCCUGGAAUUCCUGGUGGAGCGGUGAAAUGCGUUGAUAUCAGGAGGAACACCGGCGGCGAAGGCGAGGCUCUGGCCUGUUUCUGACGCUGAGACGCGAAAGCUAGGGGAGCAAAC
rnacentral:rRNA from 1 species